rnacentral:misc_RNA from 1 species
CACAAGCAGCCAUUUUGGAACAUUGUAUUUUCACUCGCAGAGUNAGCNUAAAAGCAGCUUCUUUUGAUAGAAAAAUAUGGCUUCGAGAAAAGCAGAGAGACCNGAGAUAAAUUUCGUUCAUCAAAAUGCAAUUUUGUGUGAAACGAUUCAAAAAGAACAGAGAAAUCAGCAACUAUAUACGAACUAUAGCGUGAAUCCCUUCAAGAAAAUGUAUACCUUGACUGGGAAGCCUAAUUCAGAGCAUGAUUCGGCAGAUGGAGAAGAAGACGAUAAUUUUCUUAGAGUCAUAAANAGAGCACAUAAAACACCAGUACAGAAGUUUGAAUUCCCUCAGACAUCUGCACAAGAAUACGGCUGGAAUACAGAUCCACUGAUUGACAAGACAUGGUANGAUCAACGUCUACAUCAUCCAAGAACCCAUUCAGAAAUCACUAAAUACAUGGACGCAGCNUGGAGGGUUAAAGAACAGUCUGAGAAUAUGAACUAGUAUUUUGGGAAUACAAUGAAUUUGUUUGUAAAUAGUUUUCUAUUGUAAAUUGUUUUUUCUCUGCACUGUACAAACAAGCUACAUUUUAGUNUUUUUUAAUUGAAUAAAGGAAAAAUUUUAACUAGAAAUUACAAAUUCACAAUGUCAAUUGGGAAUGAGAGGGUUGCUUUUCUUUUUCUUUGUAAAUUCAGUUUCAGUGCAGUCUUUUCAUNGAAUAAAGAGAAUGAUUACAAUAAAUAAA